UGGAGGGGACACAUUCUCUGUGGGGGACUGGCAACUGCUUCACGGCAAUGCAACCAUGAUGGGAUUGUGAAAAAAACCAUUAUUAUUAUUUCCUUAUUGUAAAUGCAAUGCAUGUCCAUUGUAAACAUUUCUUAGAAAAGGAGUAAUAAUCACCUGUGUGCUUUUUUCUUCCCCCCCCCAUCAGUGAGAAGCUCAACAAUGUGAGAUACAGUAUCUCCUGCACCCAUUUCCAACUGAACUCCCCAUUUUACAGAUGGGGAGCUGGAACAUUAAUGAGGUUAAGCGGCAUGCCCAGCACUGAAAUACGGAAUAAAUGAGCGAUGAAUUGAGUCUACAGGAAGGCUGCUGUUCAUUCACUGAUUGCCAAGGAGCAGAGGCAUCGGGAGGGACGGAUGGCAGGAGGAGCUGAAGAUGGUGUUAGAGAAGGCAGGCGAAGAACACCAAGGCUGGACCUGUUCUGAGACACAAGGUCAAGAUACUCAAGUUGCUGUGAUGGAAGCUGCCCCAUAGAGAGGUCCACAUGGCAGUGAGGACCUGUGGGCUGCUAACAGCCACAUGACUGAGCCUGGGAGCGGACUAACCCCCAGUUGAACCUUGAGAUGAAGAGUGCAAACUCAUGAGAGACCUCGAGUCAGAUGAACCAACUAGAUCACACUGGAUUCCUGACCUACAGAAGACUAGGAGGUAAUACAUAUUUUAUUGUUUUAAGCCACCCAGGUGUGGG
rnacentral:lncRNA from 1 species